UGCAACAAAACAAGUUUCCAUUAGUUCCACAUGACAAAAGAAAAUUUGGUUUCAAAAGAUUUUCCACUCUACAUAACCUUCAGGUACACUACUGGCAUUUCUGACAGACUCAGUUCUGUCAACAACUGCUGAAGGGAAGAAGUCAGCCAAGCCUGUAAGAGCAAAUAAUUGCUCCAAACGGUUCUUUCUUCCCAAUCACACAAACCACUGCUGAUUUCAACAUCUAAGAACUCGGAGUGUUGUCAGCUCCUUCCAGUUAAACAGAUGCUCUGUAUCUGUUCCACGCCUGUGCAGGGACCAGUCCUGAAACCACAGGAUGUGUCAAAAUAAGUGAUACUGGCUGCUUCCCAGACUCCAGUGAGGAUGUCUCUGAAGUCAGCUGCAGUCUCUGAAGUGUGCUGGCAAGCCUCUAGUUACAACUUCCAUUGGGUGCUAAGGACAAUUCCCCUGCUGAUCUGCUAUAGUUUCCUCCAUCAUCAUGUAUCCUGGAGAGAGGAUGUGAAACAUAGGUAGGAAGACCACCAAUUCUGAAGUUGCAAGUGUGGGAAAAAGAAACGAGAGAAAGAUCUUCCUUACAGGAAGAAAGCCAACUCAUUGUUACAUCAAGCCAUUCAUAGGCAAGAAUAAGAACAACACUGGAUUUAGUUUUGAUGAUAAACAGAGUUGUUACAAAAGCUCUGUAAAAGUGAUCUUGCAGCACAGAAUGACUAAGAAUCACAUUGCUGAGUGACU
rnacentral:lncRNA from 1 species